GAAAUGAUAAGUAAAAAGAAUAGUAGCCUAGUACUGUACUACUAGUACUACGCGGGUUGAGCCCCAGCCCGAGUCUAAAAAGACUACUCAUCUUCUCUGCUGUCCCACGAACAGAACCAGCCCGCUCACCUCUCUCUCUUCCACAAGAACAGAGCACGGCCGCCGUUGCCUCGAUCUGCCCCGUCCGGGCAUCUCCGGCGACAUGGCGGACACCUAUAGAUUCCCCUCGUCUCCCUCUACCAUUUCCCCCUAUUUAUUUGAUCCGCCGCCGCCAAAAACGUCGCCACCACUCAAUCCUAGCGCCGCCUGAUCCAGGUCCGGUGGGCUUGCCACCGGCUGCAGCGGCAACAACGUCUCCAUGCCUACAUCCUCCGCCAGCGCAGCCACACGCACGAGGCGUGCAGCCAUGGGCGUCGGGCGUGUGCGGCUUCACCGGUGCUGCUCGGUCGCCAUGGCUCUGCUGCUAACGGUGUGGACUAGCCACAUCCUACUGCUACUGCUGGUAAAUAGAUCAAGGCGAAUAGAUGCUUAUGGACUGAUUCAAACCGAGGUGGAGAUAGAUAAGAAAUCAAGCAAGAAGGGCUAACACACCAAGGUACUUGAUUAGCACCUGGUGGCGCAUGCAACCCAAAGAUCUUCACCGCAGUGAAGGACAGCAGUGUGGUAGAAGGUGAAAAGGCAAGUGGUGGGGGUACUCCAACGUAUGUGUGUGUGAGGUAGAAUGGUCCAGUGAAAGGGAUGGCUCCUAUUUAUAGUGGGGUGAAUAGCUAUGUCGGUUUGAAGACACAUUACAUCUGGCAUGCAUGUGUGGUUAGUCUUGCAUGCAUACCUCCACCUGUGUCUCUUAUGGGCUGUACUAUGGACAGGUGUAAUUUGUUUGGCUGGCCCUUAGUUGGCAUUUACUUUAUGUGAAAGAAAUGAGACAAGGGUCUAUAAAAUAUAUGGAGGUUUGGAGAAGAAUUUGUUUUGCACGACUAAAUGCUAUUUGUUGUAAUAAUAAAUGUAGUUGUCUCUAUUAUUUUAACUAAUGUUUUGGCAACGCCGUU
rnacentral:rRNA from 1 species